rnacentral:rRNA from 1 species
UACGUAGGUCCCGAGCGUUGUCCGGAUUUAUUGGGCGUAAAGCGAGCGCAGGUGGUUUAUUAAGUCUGGUGUAAAAGGCAGUGGCUCAACCAUUGUAUGUAUUGGAAACUGGUAGACUUGAGUGCAGGAGAGGAGAGUGGAAUUCUAUGUGUAGCGGUGAAAUGCGUAGAUAUAUGGAGGAACACCGGUGGCGAAAGCGGCUCUCUGGCCUGUAACUGACACUGAGGCUCGAAAGCGUGGGGAGCAAACAGG